rnacentral:rRNA from 1 species
GAUGAACGCUAGCGGGAGGCCUAACACAUGCAAGCCGAGCGGUAUUGUUUCUUCGGAAAUGAGAGAGCGGCGUACGGGUGCGGAACACGUGUGCAACCUGCCUUUAUCUGGGGAUAGCCUUUCGAAAGGAAGAUUAAUACUCCAUAAUAUAUUGAACGGCAUCGUUUAAUAUUGAAAGCUCCGGCGGAUAGAGAUGGGCACGCGCAAGAUUAGCUAGUUGGUGAGGUAACGGCUCACCAAGGCGAUGAUCUUUAGGGGCCUGAGAGGUGAUCCCCCACACUGGUACUGAGACACGGACCAGACUCCUACGGGAGGCAGCAGUGAGGAAUAUUGGUCAAUGGGUGCAAGCCUGAACCAGCCAUCCCGCGGUGAAGGACGACUGCCCUAUGGGUUGUAAACUUCUUUUGUAUAGGAUAACCUACCCUCGUGAGGUAGCUGAAGGUACUAUACGAAUAAGCACCGGCUAACUCCGUGCAGCAGCCGCGGUAAU